GAAAAACUUACUAGGACAAGACAUAAGAAGGAUUGACAGAUUGAUCGCUCUUUCUUGAUUUUAUGGGUGGUGGUGCAUGGCCGUUCUUAGUUCGUGGAUUAAUUUGUCUGGUUAAUUCCGUUAACGAACGAGACCUUGACUUACUAAUUGGGGUGAAAUAUUAACUAUUUUACCUUAUUAGAAGGACUAUGUGUUAUUAACACAAGGAAGCGCGAGGCAAUAA
rnacentral:rRNA from 1 species